UAGAGAUUCUGGAAGUUUUGGAAGUUUUAUGGGAGUUGAGUGAUUAUAUCGCUAUUAGCUAUUGAGGAAGAUAGUAAGCAUAAACUUUGUAGUUGUUUGACUGAAGUGUUGGGAUUGAGUUUUUUUUCAAUAAUGGAUAAUUGUCUUUGGUUUUCUUGUGGAAGUUUGUUGUCUGAUCCUAGAGCUAUUUUAGCAAGAUUGCAAUGUGAAUUGGUCGUGAAUAUAUUGAGCAAAUGUGAAGAUGAUUAUUACAAUGUGCAUGUGGAUUAAAAGUACAGUUGAUCUUUAAUAUAUUAAUGAUUUUACUCUGAUAUUGAAAUAUUUGUUCACCAUCUCAAGCUUUUACUGACAAUACUAACAUAACAAAUAUUUUUGUCUCUCUAGUGUAUGACACAUCCUUGUGAGAAUUUGAGAUUAGGUAGUAAAUUACUUGAUUCGGGUAAUGAAAGUGGUAUAACAUUGACUAAUGUGUUGGAAUGUGACUUAGUCAAAGAUAAUUGUUGCAGGGUAAUUAGUCAAGUGAUUACAUUUAUGUUUUUUAAUUUUUUUUUGUUAUGACUUGCAUGUAAAGACUAUGAACAAUGGUUUUGUAUUUCAACAACUUACUUU
rnacentral:lncRNA from 1 species